UACGUAGGCAGCAAGCGUUGUUCGGAUUCACUGGGCGUAAAGGGUGCGUAGGUGGUGAGGUAAGUCGGAUGUGAAAGCUCGGAGCUCAACUCCGAAAUGGCAUUGGAAACUACCUCGCUAGAGGAUCGGAGGGGAGACUGGGAUUCUCGGUGUAGCAGUGAAAUGCGUAGAUAUCGAGAGGAACACCAGUGGCGAAGGCGAGUCUCUGGACGAUUCCUGACGCUGAGGCACGAAAGCCAGGGGAGCAAACGGG
rnacentral:rRNA from 1 species